AGAGGAGGUAGGCUACAGGGAAGUAGUCUCUCUGGAAACUAUAGUGGUGGGAGGCAUUUAGGAGACUGGCAAACCCAGUGGGGAGGCUUGGAUUCCCCCUGCCAGCCACAGAGGAGGGUAGCAUCAUGAAGCUUUGAGAAUCCUGACCGGGCUGCAGGGCUGAAUUACAGGGAGAAGGCUGCAGCUUGUGGUGUAAGAGAAGGACUGAGGAGUGAGGGAGAGGUGCUAUCCCAGUGCCCCUGCCUGGAAACCAGCUGGAACUUGAAUUGCCUGUAUGUUCCCCGUGCUCCAGAGCAAUAGCCUGUGUAUUUCUCAUGUCUCGGAUCCGGUUCAUCAUGCUUUCUGGCCUGCAGUGCCCACUGCCAUCAAGAGAGAGUAUGUGGAUAUAUGAGAAGAGCUAGUUUGCCCCAUUACUUUCUCUGAAAGGCUUGUUUGCCUAUUAGGGUUGGGAGCUGCCACGUGGGUGAACGCCGAGAUUGGCAAACUUCAGAUGAGCAGCAAUUGGAAUUUCCCAAC